CUUUGCAGAUGCCAGGAAGCACCAGGAAAGGGCCCCCCGAGACCCCCUGGACCCCCAGUGGAGGAUCCUCAGGCGAUGUACAUGGAGCUGCAAAGGCAACCGUGGGAACCCAGUGACAUCUAUGACAAUCUACACCAAAAGUUGUGAUGCUCUGGGAAGCAGGAGGCACUGGGUGACACUGAGGGUGCUCCCUCCAUGCCUCCUGUUGUUGCCCAUCCUUCCAAGGGAGGUGGUCAUGAGUCAGGGGGAGGCUACACAGGGCACCCUGUGCUCCCCAUUUCCUCUCCCAGUACCCCCAAGGGCUCCCCCAUCCCUUUGCUGGUACCUGCAGGGGUUCCCCAGCCCCGUCCAAGUGCCCAAGUACCCUCAGGGACUGCCCCAUUCUUUCCUCACAGUGCUUGCAGUACACACAGGGCUUCCCCAUUCCCCCUCCCACUACCCCUGUCCCACCCCGCUAUAAAAGGGGGAGUCGGGGAGGAUUCUUGCUGAAAGGUUUCUCAGAUGAAAAUGAAGCACAAAAGUGGCAAUAUUAUAUCUGAGAACUGUCUUUUAAUAAAGGAGGAUAAGCAUUCGUACCGAAGGGGGAGAGAAGGGAGUAGAACGGGAAAAGGAUAGAGAGAGAAACAGAAGACAGGGACAGCGUUACCACAAGAAGCCCGGGAGCUCUGUGGGCACCAGCUGGGCAGAUAGAGUGUGUGUGCUGCAAGCCAGGGGAAAGCAAUGAAGGAAUGUCCAGGAUGAGCAGGACUGAGCUGCCUCGGGGAAGCAGCGAAGCAGGGAAGAAUGGAUACGGAGAGGGAAGAAGGACCAGGGAGGAAAAGGCAGCGGGGAAGUAUCGGUGAUAUUUUUUUCCAGUGUCCGGGAGAGAUGAUGCAUCUGACUCCAUCCUAUCAGAAGGCUAAUAAAUUACUUUAUUGUA